CGUUACCAAACAGCCAAUAAGUUUCAGCUGCGCUAAAGGAAAUUCCGAGGCAAGUUUUGGCGAGUUUUGGUGAAUUUCGGGAAAGGUUCAAGAGACGACGAGGCGAGCAUAGUUAAGAGUAAUCCAUAAGAGGUACAGAUGAUUGGUUUGCUGAUCCGCUCGCUUAGGACAUCCACCAUGUUGGUCGACAGUGCUCCUUUGUUCGGAGUCCUAUUUUGGUACUGACACCUUCUGUUGUAUAUAUAUAUACAUUGUUCAGGGUACGGCGGAGCCCUGUCCCGUCAUAUGACUAGGAUAUCAUUCCGUAGAGGUCUGUAGACAUGAGAUGUGGGUUUUGUAUAUAUGUUUUGGGUUUUUUUUUGUUUCGUGAUGGCCUAUCGGCCCUCGUGCAUUAUAUCUGUUUAGAGAUCCCUUCUAAUCAUUACCUAUGUUUAUUCGAUUAAUGUACUA